rnacentral:misc_RNA from 1 species
AUAUUCAUUUGUUAUGUCUACUGUGGGCUUGGAGUGGAUUCGUGGAACAAUCCUCCUUUAGAAUACCAAUAGUACUUAAAGCAUCUUGCGAGUCAGGCACCAUGUGGGAUUAUGGGAUUGUCCUGGCGGACGCUGUUGCCUAUGCUACUUUAGGAUUUUGGGAUUGCCGAACACUCUCUUACCAAAACACUUUCUCAUAUGGCAGUCCCUUCCUAUUAUUUAUAACAAAGUAGUGGAAUUUGCUUUUGUUUGUCAAAAUAUACUUUAUUCAGUUAAAUCCCUUACUGUUGUGGACUGUUUUCAGGUGGAGUCCCUCAAGUCGACCUUCAGGUCGGGAAGCAGAACAUAUAUACUCGACUGACCCCUGCAGAGACUGUUGGUGAAGGUGGAGUCCCUCAAGUCGACCUUCAGGUCGGGAAGCAGAACAUAUAUACUCGACUGACCCCUGCAGAGACUGUUGGUGAAGGUGGAGUCCCUCAAGCCGUCACUCUGGUCGGGACGCAGAAUAUAUUUACUCGACCGACCCCUGUAGGGACUGUUGGUGAAGGUAGGCAUUGUCAGCCAUGAUUCAGGUUAUUCUAGUUGUGUAUUUGGAGCUAACACGUAUGAAAAGAAAACAUAUAAUAAUUUAUAAUCUAGAAGUAAACUAGACUAUGACAUAUAAAUAUUACCCAUUAUGGUUGUAUCUUCUUGUGUAAUCACUUUCCCAUAUUUGCAUAUGUGCAUUUAAACGAUUCUCAAUGUUAAUUCGUCACUUAAAGCCAUAUGACGUCAUCCAU